UCAGAUAUUUGCAGGAUUUGUUCUCCACAUGUUUUCAGUUUUCACCUGCAUGUGAACACAAGGUCUUUGCAGAAGUGGCUAAUGUAAUGUGGAGUCGGAGAGUAGAAAAAUAGAGGAGUCGGAGUCAGAGUCGAAGGUUUGACAUACCAACUCCAUAGCCCUGGUAUUCUGUAAUGGGGAAAAAAUUUGCUGCAUGCCAAAGCACACAGGAUUAAAAGGAAUGCAGAAACCAUCUGAGGCACUCGAGUACUCCGCUACGAACUACUGAUCUGUAACGAAAAUCUAUCAGGAAAAUCCAAGACAAAAACAGAAGACUAGUGCAGUCAGUUACCUAACAAUGACCUUGUCUUUCAGCACAGCUCACUCGCUGUGUCCUAGGGAGGAUAAUGUAGCAACUGACUACAGCCUGAAGGCAGCAUGCAUAUAAACUAAAUCCAAGUACCACAAAAACAGCUUGAACGCUAUAGGGCUGGAACAAAGGACUCUGCCAUAAAGCAUUACUGCUGAAAAUGUAGCAGUAAUACACAUCUCCAAUUACUUUUCUAGAGAUUGCUGAUUAGAUUAUCCAACCUGAAGACAUGUCCUCCAGAACUCUAUAGCUUGUUCACUACUUUGGGA